UACACGACCGUACCGCAAACCGACACUGGUGCGCGAGAUGAGUAUUCUAAGGCGCUUGAGAGAACUCAGGAGAAGGAACUCGGCAAAUUGACACCGUAACUUCGGAAGAAGGUGUGCCUUCAGUAGGUGAACCUGUACAAGGGGAGCCCAAUGAGGUUGCAAAAAAUCGGUGGCUGCGACUGUUUAAUAAAAACACAGCACUCUGCAAACACGAAAGUGGACGUAUAGGGUGUGACGCCUGCCCGGUGCUGGAAGAUUAAAUGAUGGGGUGCAAGCUCUUGAUUGAAGUCCCAGUAAACGGCGGCCGUAACGAUAACGGUCCUAAGGUAGCGAAAUUCCUUGUCGGGUAAGUUCCGACCUGCACGAAUGGCGUAACGAUGGCCACACUGUCUCCUCCUGAGACUCAGCGAAGUUGAAAUGUUUGUGAUGAUGCAAUCUCCCCGCGGAAAGACGGAAAGACCCCAUGAACCUUUACUGUAGCUUUGUAUUGGACUUUGAACAGAUCUGUGUAGGAUAGGUGGGAGGCUUUGAAGUGUGGUCGCUAGAUCGCAUGGAGCCAACGUUGAAAUACCACCCUGGUGUGUUUGAGGUUCUAACCUAGGCCCGUAAUCCGGGUCGGGGACAGUGCAUGGUGGGCAGUUUGACUGGGGCGGUCUCCUCCCAAAGCGUAACGGAGGAGUUCGAAGGUACGCUAGGUACGGUCGGACAUCGUGCUAAUAGUGCAAUGGCAUAAGCGUGCUUAACUGCGAGACUGACAAGUCGAGCAGAUGCGAAAGCAGGACAUAGUGAUCCGGUGGCUCUGUAUGGAAGGGCCAUCGCUCAACGGAUAAAAGGUACUCUGGGGAUAACAGGCUGAUACCGCCCAAGAGUUCAUAUCGACGGCGGUGUUUGGCACCUCGAUGUCGGCUCAUCUCAUCCUGGGGCUGUAGCCGGUCCCAAGGGUAUGGCUUUCGCCAUUUAAAGAGGUACGUGAGCUGGGUUUAAAACGUCGUGAGACAGUUUGGUCCCUAUCUUCCGUGGGCGCUGCAGAUUUGAGGAAGCCUGCUCCUAGUACGAGAGGACCGGAGUGGACACACCUCUGGUGUAUCGGUUGUCACGCCAGUGGCAUUGCCGAGUAGCUAUGUGUGGAAGAGAUAACCGCUGAAAGCAUCUAAGCGGGAAACUCGUUUCAAGAUGAGAUCUGCCGGGGCCUUGAGCCCCCUAAAGAGUCGUUCAAGACCAGGACGUUGAUAGGUCGGGUGUGGAAGCGCAGUAAUGCGUUAAGCUAACCGAUACUAAUUGCUCGUGCGGCUUGAUC
rnacentral:rRNA from 1 species